rnacentral:rRNA from 1 species
GAUGAACGCUAGCUCCUAGGAAAAAGAGAGCAGCAUGCAAGUCGAGGGGCAGCAUGAUCGAAGCUUGCUUUGAUUGAUGGCGACCGGCGCACGGGUGAGUAACGCGUAUCCAACCUUCCCUAUAGUAGAGAAUAGCCCGGCGAAAGUCGGAUUAAUGCUCUAUGUUGUAUUUAGAGGACAUCUGAAGAAUACCAAAGGUUUACCGCUAUAGGAUGGGGAUGCGUCUGAUUAGGUAGUAGGCGGGGUAACGGCCCACCUAGCCGACGAUCAGUAGGGGUUCUGAGAGGAAGGUCCCCCACAUUGGAACUGAGACACGGUCCAAACUCCUACGGGAGGCUGCUUUUUAGGAAUAUUGGUCAAUGGACGGAAGUCUGAACCAGCCAAGUAGCGUGCAGGAUGACGGCCCUAUGGGUUGUAAACUGCUUUUAUAUAGGGAUAAAGUCGGGGACGUGUCCCCGUUUGUAUGUACCGUAAGAAUAAGGACCGGCUAAUUCC